AUACGUAGGGAGCGAGCGUUAUCCGGAUUCAUUGGGCGUAAAGCGCGCGUAGGCGGCUCGGGAAGCGGAACCUCUAACCUUGGGGCUCAACCUCAAGCCGGGUUCCGAACUCCCGGGCUCGAGUCAGGUAGGGGCAGGCGGAAUUCCCGGUGUAGCGGUGAAAUGCGCAGAUAUCGGGAGGAACACCGAUGGCGAAGGCGGCCUGGUGGGCCUAGAGACGGACGAUGAGGUGCGAAAGCGUGGGAAGCGAACGGAAUUAGAUCCCCUGGUAGUCCCCGCCGUAAACGAUGGGCGCUAGGUGUGGGGAGCGUAUCCCCCGUGCCGCAGCUAACGCAUUAAGCGCCCCGCCUGGGGAGUGCGGCCGCAAGGCUAAAACUCAAAGGAAUUGACGGGG
rnacentral:rRNA from 1 species